GGUUGUAAACCUCUUUUCGGGGGGAUUGACGGUACCCAAGGAAUAAGCCUCGGCUAACUACGUGCCAGCAGCCGCGGAAAUACGAAGGAGGCGAACGUUAUUCGGAUUUACUGGGCGUAAAGUGAGCGUAGGCGGUUCCUUAAGUCAGAUGUGAAAUCUUCUGACUUAAUCAGAAGAGGCCAUCUGAUACUAAGGAGCUUGAGAGCAACAGAGGGAAAUGGAAUCCCCAGUGUAGCGGUGAAAUGCGUAGAUAUUGGGGAGAACACCAGUGGCGAAGGCGAUUUCCCAGGUUGUUUCUGACGCUGAGGCUCGAAAGCGUGGGGAGCGAAGCGGAUUAGAUACCCGCGUAGUCCACGCCCUAAACGGUGGACACUAGAUAUGGGAAGUAUCGACCCUUUCCGUGUCGAAGCUAACGCUUUAAGUGUCCCGCCUGGGGAGUACGGCCGCAAGGCUAAAACUCAAAGGAAUUGACGGGGGACCGCACAAGCAGCGGAGCGUGUGGUUUAAUUCGAUGCUACACGAAGAACCUUACCAGGGCUUGACAUGACAGAAGUAGGAAUUCGAAAGAAGGACGACCUGUAUCCAGUCAGGAGCUGUCACAGGUGCUGCAUGGCUGUCGUCAGCUCGUGCCGUGAGGUGUUGGGUUAAGUCCCGCAACGAGCGCAACCCUUGUCCUAUGUUAAAUUCUCAUGGGAGACUGCCCUGUACAGCAGGGAGGAAGGAAAGGAUGACGUCAAAGUCAGCAUGGCCUUUAUGCCCUGGGCUACACACACGCUACAAUG
rnacentral:rRNA from 1 species